UUAUAUCUUGUUCUUGAUUCAAAAAAUUUCUUAUUUACCAUAUAUUUGUUUAUUAUGCACGCAGCAUAAGUUAAACAAAUCCACACAGAGUGCCCUAUUGCUCUUAAUUAAUUAGAAAAAAUGCUUCUAGUUUUUUUCCGUAAGUCAAAGUCCUCUUUUUACAAUUCCGUUUGUUGUUCCGUUUGUUGAAAGUAUUUUGAUUGUGCGGAAAUGUUGUAAAGUUCCGUUAGUGAGGAAAUAGUAAAUUAUUAAGAAUAAAUAAACGGAUGAAGAAGUUAUAACUCAUUAUGUAACUUUUUUAUUUAUUGAGAAACGUGGUUGGCGGAAGAAAGUAUCACUUCGAAGUAAAAGUAUACUUAAUUAUGCGCGAUUUAUUCAUGCGGAAACGUUGAUUUGAAAAAAAAGUCACGUGUCAAAAUAAAUCAGCAAAAUAUAAUAAACUUGACGAGAUUUCACUGCAAGAUCCUUUUGUCAUGUGAAAGUACACAUGAAUUGUACGCCGGUGGUCCCCGAGUUUGUUUCCUGUGGUUAACUUAUGUUUAAAUUCUUAUGGAACAAUAAUUUAUAAUUUAAUAAAAAGGGGGUUAAACGGGCGUAAAAAGAGAAGUCUUUAUAGA